GCACGAUUUUCUGUGCUUGGGAAUUUAAAGCAAAUUUAAAGAACAGUUUCUUUAUGCAUAAAAUUUACUUAUGUCAAUCAUUUAUGCACUCGUGGGAACCAACAGAGUGCUAAGGCAUUCAAAUUCUAACAAUUAAAUUUUUUGGGGACACCUGUAUAAUUGUAGUAUGUGUAUUGUGUUUCUCUUUCACCAUUCUCUUUCACCAUGCAAUAUAAUGGACCAGUCAUUAAUAAUGGGUGGGAGAGGUGGGUGAGAAAAGGGAGAUGGCCUUAUGUACUAGGGG
rnacentral:lncRNA from 1 species